ensembl:lncRNA PACERR PTGS2 antisense NFKB1 complex-mediated expression regulator RNA
GGAAACCCAGGAAGCUGCCCCAAUUUGGGAGCAGAGGGGGUAGUCCCCACUCUCCUGUCUGAUCCCUCCCUCUCCUCCCCGAGUUCCACCGCCCCAGGCGCACAGGUUUCCGCCAGAUGUCUUUUCUUCUUCGCAGUCUUUGCCCGAGCGCUUCCGAGAGCCAGUUCUGGACUGAUCGCCUUGGAUGGGAUACCGGGGGAGGGCAGAAGGACACUUGGCUUCCUCUCCAGGAAUCUGAGCGGCCCUGAGGUCCGGGGGCGCAGGGAAUCCCCUCUCCCGCCGCCGCCGCCGUGUCUGGUCUGUACGUCUUUAGAGGGUCGAGGAAGUCACGUCGGGACAGACUGGGGCGAGUAAGGUUAAGAAAGGCUGACAUGUUUUAUGUUUUAGUGACGACGCUUAAUAGGCUGUAUAUCUGCUCUAUAUGCAGCACAUACAUACAUAGCUUUUUAAAAAACUCUUAUUUUGUGGAAUGAAAUAGCUACCUUCAGUGUACAUAGCUGUAAUUUAUCUUUGUAGCUAAGUUGCUUUCAACAGAAGAAAUACUGUUCUCCGUACCUUCACCCCCUCCUUGUUUCUUGGAAAGAGAGGCGGGAAAGGUAAAUUCUCCUCAUAAUACUGGUCCUAAGCAGUUACCCUGUAAAUAGUUAAUGUGAGCUCCACGGGUCACCAAUAUAAAGUUUCCUGCCUUCUGAUGGACAAAGGAAGCGGCGAUGGCCAGAAUUUGCAGGGACGCUAAAUGUCCAAAACGUAUGCCUUAAGGCAUUUCUCUCCCUGAUGCGUGGAUUAUUUUGGUUACUAGCCCUUCAUAGGAGAUACUGGUAAAAUAAAUUCGAGUUUUAAAGUUCACUCUUUUGUCUUUUCUGUCCACUUUUCCAAGAUUAUGAGUUGUGACCAUGGAUCAAAGUACAACAUAGCAUUUACUUUUCAGUUGCCUGGGCUUAUUGGGGCUAAUUUUCUAUUCUCGUUUUGGAACAUAGUUGGAUGAGGAAUUAAUUAGAUGGAAGGGAGAUUUUGACAGUUGGAAUUUCAUCUUUGCUUUUGUUUAACAUCUAUCAUGGGUAGUGCUCAGGGAGGAGCAUGUGAGGGUGAGAUACUAAAAAAUAUAUAUAUGUAUAUGUGUGUGUGUAUAUAUACAUAUAUAUAUACACACACACCAGAAAAGAAGUGGAAAAUAGAAAAUUCAGUUAUGUCCUAAGUCCUUAGCAUUACAGGAAAAUGACAGCAUAAAACCUGAAAUAAAACUACACCAGGUACCUCAAUUUGUAGAAGUCUUAUAAGAAAAAAAUAAAUAAGAGACUCACUUGGAGGUUUUUUUUUUAACUGUUUUGCUUAGUGUACACAUCUGAUUCUUCAUGAGACACGGAUGACUAAAAUUCCAUCUCAUCUAGGAAGCCUUUCUCCUCCUCUAGUCAUAUUUCAUCAUUCCAUUUAUGGCACUCCUAUUUAUUGCAUGGAAUCUUACAUGAAAUUUCAACUAAGAGCGUGGAUCAUUUUCUUUUUGAUAAUUUAAUAAUUUCAAUCUUCUGUUUCAUUUUAAAGGAGUAGGUUGCAUCUACUGAAAUUUGAAGUUUAUAGUUAGAGCUACUAAUGUUAGUUUGGGUUAGAAGCCAUGUUAGAAUCCAUACUGUGAGAGAGUACUAAAAUUUUACAUUACAAUCCUGAAUUCAUUUUGAAGUGAUCAUCAUCAUUGUCUUCCUUAUCAGACAUUAAUUGUUCUGUUGUCUGAAAAGAGAUUUGGAUACAAAAGUGAGGGAAAAACAGGGCAUAAGGAAUAAUUAUAUUUAGAUUAUUUUAAACUCAAAGGAAUUGAACUCCAUCUAUCCCAUAGUGGAAAUUCUGUCACUUAUAUAGCAGGAUAGAGUGAAGAGUUCCAUGUACUUGGAAAGUCAAAAAAAAAAGUUCAAGGAGAAUCUGGGACUUUAAGGAUGGGCAGAGUUUUAGAAAGAAGUGCAAAUCUGAGCAUAAGGAAAAAAGUUACAUAAUUUAUUAAAUAACUGACAAUUCUGAGACAAUAAAAUAAAACGGAUAGGUACAUUUGGGAUGCUGGUCAUGGGAGUGUAUUAAAUGUGCCAAACUAAAUUAAGACCACUAAACCUGUUUUAUAUGGAAAAGUACUGUGACUAUUGUGUACCAUAAAAAAAAGGUUUGAUCAUGUAAAACUUAUAGCUCUCAUGUUUGCAUAUAUUCAAUGUUUCUGUGUCUAUUUUAGGCAAAUAUAUGGAUCUGUUGUACAAAAUUUCUAUUAGCGUCUGAAAUUUGUUGGGAAAUAAUCUACAUGAAAAGAAAAUAAGGAAGAAUCUUAAAAAUCUUCCAGAGCUUUCUGUUGAGUUUUACUGCCCCCUUCUGCUGCUUGAAAUUUUGUCAACUUUUUUCCUAAGAUGCUAGGAAGAUUGCCAGACAGAUUUUGUGUUUAAUUUUAUAAUGUUCUAAACAUUCACAUGUUGCACUGUUCAUUUCAGAUUUGUUUCAUGAAUAUGUUGAAAAGAAAUGAAAUAUUUAUUAAUUGAAGUGAUAAGCCAUUCAUGUGAGUUAAAAGAAAAUGAACAAUAAAGACUCUUAAUGUCC